rnacentral:rRNA from 1 species
ACGACUCUCGACAACGGAUAUCCCGGCUCUCGCAUCGAUGAAGAACGUAGCGAAAUGCGAUACUUGGUGUGAAUUGCAGAAUCCCGUGAACCAUCGAGUCUUUGAACGCAAGUUGCGCCCGAAGCCUAUGGCUAAGGGCACGUCUGCCUGGGUGUCACGC